GGGGGAUAACGUUCGGAAACGGACGCUAAUACCGCAUACGUCCUACGGGAGAAAGCAGGGGACCUUCGGGCCUUGCGCUAUCAGAUGAGCCUAGGUCGGAUUAGCUAGUUGGUGAGGUAAUGGCUCACCAAGGCGACGAUCCGUAACUGGUCUGAGAGGAUGAUCAGUCACACUGGAACUGAGACACGGUCCAGACUCCUACGGGAGGCAGCAGUGGGGAAUAUUGGACAAUGGGCGAAAGCCUGAUCCAGCCAUGCCGCGUGUGUGAAGAAGGUCUUCGGAUUGUAAAGCACUUUAAGUUGGGAGGAAGGGUUGUAGAUUAAUACUCUGCAAUUUUGACGUUACCGACAGAAUAAGCACCGGCUAACUCUGUGCCAGCAGCCGCGGUAAUACAGAGGGUGCAAGCGUUAAUCGGAAUUACUGGGCGUAAAGCGCGCGUAGGUGGUUUGUUAAGUUGGAUGUGAAAUCCCCGGGCUCAACCUGGGAACUGCAUUCAAAACUGACUGACUAGAGUAUGGUAGAGGGUGGUGGAAUUUCCUGUGUAGCGGUGAAAUGCGUAGAUAUAGGAAGGAACACCAGUGGCGAAGGCGACCACCUGGACUAAUACUGACACUGAGGUGCGAAAGCGUGGGGAGCAAACAGGAUUAGAUACCCUGGUAGUCCACGCCGUAAACGAUGUCAA
rnacentral:rRNA from 1 species